UCCUGAUCUGUGGUUUCUAAGCAUCAUACUGGCACUCAUCUUAGUCAGAUCAUGUACCACUAGAUUUGAUCAUCUAUGAUUUUUAUUGAAUCAUCUGUAUGGUAAUUCGGUCAUGAUUUGAUUAAAUCAUCUGAAAUAGAUUGAUCAAAUUGUCGGGCAGUAUUGCCAGAUCAGUUCUAUUGUAUCUCGUUAAUUUUUUUAUUCUCUGCUCUUCUCUCU
rnacentral:lncRNA from 1 species